rnacentral:rRNA from 2 species
UAAGCGUGUAGGCUGGUUUUCCAGGCAAAUCCGGAAAAUCAAGGCUGAGGCGUGAUGACGAGGCACUACGGUGCUGAAGCGACAAAUGCCCUGCUUCCAGGAAAAGCCUCUAAGCAUCAGGUAACAUCAAAUCGUACCCCAAACCGACACAGGUGGUCAGGUAGAGAAUACCAAGGCGCUUGAGAGAACUCGGGUGAAGGAACUAGGCAAAAUGGUGCCGUAACUUCGGGAGAAGGCACGCUGAUAUGUAGGUGAAGCGACUUGCUCGUGGAGCUGAAAUCAGUCGAAGAUACCAGCUGGCUGCAACUGUUUAUUAAAAACACAGCACUGUGCAAACACGAAAGUGGACGUAUACGGUGUGACGCCUGCCCGGUGCCGGAAGGUUAAUUGAUGGGGUUAGCGGUAACGCGAAGCUCUUGAUCGAAGCCCCGGUAAACGGCGGCCGUAACUAUAACGGUCCUAAGGUAGCGAAAUUCCUUGUCGGGUAAGUUCCGACCUGCACGAAUGGCGUAAUGAUGGCCAGGCUGUCUCCACCCGAGACUCAGUGAAAUUGAACUCGCUGUGAAGAUGCAGUGUACCCGCGGCAAGACGGAAAGACCCCGUGAACCUUUACUAUAGCUUGACACUGAACAUUGAGCCUUGAUGUGUAGGAUAGGUGGGAGGCUUUGAAGUGUGGACGCCAGUCUGCAUGGAGCCGACCUUGAAAUACCACCCUUUAAUGUUUGAUGUUCUAACGUGGGCCCCUUACCGGGGUUGCGGACAGUGUCUGGUGGGUAGUUUGACUGGGGCGGUCUCCUCCUAAAGAGUAACGGAGGAGCACGAAGGUUGGCUAAUCCUGGUCGGACAUCAGGAGGUUAGUGCAAUGGCAUAAGCCAGCUUGACUGCGAGCGUGACGGCGCGAGCAGGUGCGAAAGCAGGUCAUAGUGAUCCGGUGGUUCUGAAUGGAAGGGCCAUCGCUCAACGGAUAAAAGGUACUCCGGGGAUAACAGGCUGAUACCGCCCAAGAGUUCAUAUCGACGGCGGUGUUUGGCACCUCGAUGUCGGCUCAUCACAUCCUGGGGCUGAAGUAGGUCCCAAGGGUAUGGCUGUUCGCCAUUUAAAGUGGUACGCGAGCUGGGUUUAGAACGUCGUGAGACAGUUCGGUCCCUAUCUGCCGUGGGCGCUGGAGAACUGAGGGGGGCUGCUCCUAGUACGAGAGGACCGGAGUGGACGCAUCACUGGUGUUCGGGUUGUCAUGCCAAUGGCACUGCCCGGUAGCUAAAUGCGGAAGAGAUAAGUGCUGAAAGCAUCUAAGCACGAAACUUGCCCCGAGAUGAGUUCUCCCUGACUCCUUGAGAGUCCUGAAGGAACGUUGAAGACGACGACGUUGAUAGGCCGGGUGUGUAAGCGCAGCGAUGCGUUGAGCUAACCGGUACUAAUGAACCGUGAGGCUUAACCUUACAACGCCGAAG